GAGAGAGACAUGCGCGCAUAUCAAUAAGCGGAGGAAAAGAAACUAACAAGGAUUCCCUUAGUAACGGCGAGUGAAGCGGGAAGAGCUCAAAUUUGAAAUCUUCAAGGUUUUACCUUGACGAAUUGUAGUUUAAAGAAGUGUUUUCUGCUGAAGUUUUGGUAAAAGUUCUUUGGAAUAGGACAUCAUAGAGGGUGAGAAUCCCGUAUUUGACCAUUAUUUUCAGCUUUGUGAUACACUUUCAAAGAGUCGGAUUGUUUGGGAAUGCAGUCCAAAAUGGGUGGUAAAUUUCAUCUAAAGCUAAAUAUUGGCGAGAGACCGAUAGCGAACAAGUACCGUGAGGGAAAGAUGAAAAGAACUUUGAAAAGAGAGUUAAACAGUACGUGAAAUUGUCAAAAGGGAAGCGUUUGACACCAGUGUUGUUUUCUCGAAAAUCAAUUAAAAAUGGCUCGAUUUUGUAUUGCUUGAGACCUUAAAAGCUCACUGUACAUUUUUCGUGUCUUUUUUAAUGCACUUUUCGUUUAACAAGUCAACAUCAGGUUUCUUUUGUUGUAAAAGGGUCAUUGGAAGGUGGCUUUCUUUUCGGAGAAAGUGUUUAUAGCCUUUGGCCUCUGCAAUCGGAAGAGACUGAGGUCUGCAGCGUAGACUCUUCGGGGUUAGAUACAUUUGUGCUAAGUUAUAGCUUUUUAUAGACAACUUGUUGACUAUAAUUAGUCUUGUAGCUUACUCGCUUAUGCUAUUUUACCUACGCUUAGGAUUGUUGAGUCGUAGAGCACGCAG
rnacentral:rRNA from 1 species